rnacentral:rRNA from 1 species
UACAGAGACCUCAAGCGUUAUCCGGAAUCAUUGGGCGUAAAGCGUACCGAUAGGUGGUUUAUUAAGUCUUGGGUAAAAGCCGGAAGCUCAACUUCCGCGUUUGCUUAAGAUACUAAUAGACUAGAGGGGCAAAGAGGAGAUUGGAACCAACGGUGUAGUAGUGAAAUGCGUUGAUAUCGUUGGGAACACCGAAAGCGAAGGCAGAUCUCUGGGUGCCACCUGACACUGCUAGGACGAAAGCGUGGGGAGCGAAUGGG